rfam:Musa acuminata subsp. malaccensis Doubled-haploid Pahang (DH-Pahang) genomic chromosome, chr2
GAGGCAUGAUGAGGAACCUCUUUUGCGUCUGAGAAUUCAUUCUCUGAGCGAAGUAAAACCUCCUACUCAUUCUGA